rnacentral:rRNA from 1 species
UUAAACGACCAUACUACGUUAAAUACACCGGUUCUCGUCCGAUCACCAAAGUUAAGCAACGUCGGCCGCGGUCAGUACUUGGAUGGAUGACCACCUGGGAAUACCGCGUGACGUUGACU